rnacentral:rRNA from 1 species
AUUGAACGCUGGCGGAAUGCUUUACACAUGCAAGUCGAACGGCAGCACGGACUUCGGUCUGGUGGCGAGUGGCGAACGGGUGAGUAAUGUAUCGGAACGUGCCCAGUCGUGGGGGAUAACGUAGUGAAAAUUACGCUAAUACCGCAUACGAUCUAUGGAUGAAAGCGGGGGAUCGCAAGACCUCGCGCGAUUGGAGCGGCCGAUGUCAGAUUAGGUAGUUGGUGGGGUAAAGGCCCACCAAGCCAACGAUCUGUAGCUGGUAUGAGAGGACGACCAGCCACACUGGAACGGAGACACGGUCCAGACUCCUACGGGAGGCAGCAGUGGGGAAUUUUGGACAAUGGGCGAAAGCCUGAUCCAGCCAUUCCGCGUGCAGGAUGAAGGCCCUCGGGUCGUAAACUGCUUUUGUACAGAACGAAAAGGUUUCUACUAAUACUAGGAGCUCAUGACGGUACUGUAAGAAUAAGCACCGGCUAACUACGUGCCAGCCGCCGCCGUAA